UACAGAGGUGGCAAGCGUUGUUCGGAAUUACUGGGCGUAAAGGGCGCGUAGGCGGCCUUCUAAGUCAGACGUGAAAUCCCCCGGCUUAACCUGGGAACUGCGUCUGAUACUGGGAGGCUUGAGUAUGGGAGAGGGAUGUAGAAUUCCAGGUGUAGCGGUGAAAUGCGUAGAUAUCUGGAGGAAUACCGGUGGCGAAGGCGGCAUCCUGGACCAUAACUGACGCUGAGGCGCGAAAGCUAGGGGGAAGCAAACGGGG
rnacentral:rRNA from 1 species